CUCUAGAAGGAUCUUUGGUUGGACAUCUUUCCCUUGUGGACUCUUUCUUGCAAGCCUGGAUCUUUGGAGAUGGGGUUACUGUGAAAUGACUGUUUAUGUUCGUGAGGAAGUCAGAUAUCCAGCGAAGGCUGCAAGAGAAAUGCAUACCAAUAACCCAGAGGUGCAACUCUACAGAGGAUGCUGAAAACUGCCAGGAAGGAAGCUUCAAAUGUGGACCCUGAAGCAAGGCAACAUCUGGAGAAUGGACAGCUGAGGCAGCUGGAGGCAGGAGACCAUGUCUAUCCCACAGCUGCAGAG